rnacentral:rRNA from 1 species
CCUACGGUCGGCAGCAGUCGAGAAUCAUUUACAAUGGGGGAAACCCUGAUGGUGCGACGCCGCGUGGGGGAAUGAAGGUCUUCGGAUUGUAAACCCCUGUCAUGUGGGAGCAAAUUAAAAAGAUAGUACCACAAGAGGAAGAGACGGCUAACUCUGUGCCAGCAGCCGCGGUAAUACAGAGGUCUCAAGCGUUGUUCGGAAUCACUGGGCGUAAAGCGUGCGUAGGCUGUUUCGUAAGUCGUGUGUGAAAGGCGCGGGCUCAACCCGCGGACGGCACAUGAUACUGCGAGACUAGAGUAAUGGAGGGGGAACCGGAAUUCUCGGUGUAGCAGUGAAAUGCGUAGAUAUCGAGAGGAACACUCGUGGCGAAGGCGGGUUCCUGGACAUUAACUGACGCUGAGGCACGAAGGCCAGGGGAGCGAAAGGGAUUAGAUACCCCAGUAGUC